rnacentral:rRNA from 1 species
AGUUUGAUCCUGGCUCAGAAUCACGCUGGCGGCGUGCCUCAGACAUGCAAGUCGAACGAUUAAAGCUCUCUUCGGAGAGUGUAUAGAGUGGCGCACGGGUGAGUAACACGUAAGUAAUCUACCCUCGAGUGGGGAAUAACAACCGGAAACGGUUGCUAAUACCGCAUAAUGCAGCGGCACCGCAAGGUGACAGUUGUUAAAGAUUUAUCGCUUGAGGAGGAGCUUGCGGCAGAUUAGCUAGUUGGUAGGGUAACGGCUUACCAAGGCUACGAUCUGUAACCGGUCUAAGAGGACGGUCGGUCACACUGACACUGAAUAACGGGUCAGACUCCUACGGGAGGCAGCAGUCGGGAAUUUUGGGCAAUGGGCGAAAGCCUGACCCAGCAACGCCGCGUGAAGGAUGAAGUAUUUCGGUAUGUAAACUUCGAAAGAAUAGGAAGAAUUAAUGACGGUACUAUUUAUAAGGUCCGGCUAACUACGUG